AGCUAAUACCGAAUAGUUCUUCAGACCGCAUGGUCUGAUGAUGAAAGGCGCUCCGGCGUCACCUUGGGAUGGCCUUGCGGUGCAUUAGCUAGUUGGUGGGGUAACGGCCCACCAAGGCGACGAUGCAUAGCCGACCUGAGAGGGUGAUCGGCCACACUGGGACUGAGACACGGCCCAGACUCCUACGGGAGGCAGCAGUAGGGAAUCUUCCACAAUGGACGAAAGUCUGAUGGAGCAACGCCGCGUGAGUGAUGAAGGUUUUCGGAUCGUAAAACUCUGUUGUAAGGGAAGAACAAGUACGAGAGGGAAUGCUCGUACCUUGACGGUACCUUGCGAGAAAGCCACGGCUAACUACGUGCCAGCAGCCGCGGUAAUACGUAGGUGGCAAGCGUUGUCCGGAAUUAUUGGGCGUAAAGCGCGCGCAGGCGGCCUUUUAAGUCUGAUGUGAAAGCCCCCGGCUCAACCGGGGAGGGUCAUUGGAAACUGGAAGGCUUGAGUACAGAAGAGAAGAGUGGAAUUCCAUGUGUAGCGGUGAAAUGCGUAGAGAUGUGGAGGAACACCAGUGGCGAAGGCGACUCUUUGGUCUGUAACUGACGCUGAGGCGCGAAAGCGUGGGGAGCAAACAGGAUUAGAUACCCUGGUAGUCCACGCCGUAAACGAUGAGUGCUAGGUGUUGGGGGGUUUCCGCCCCUCAGUGCUG
rnacentral:rRNA from 1 species